rnacentral:rRNA from 1 species
GACGGGGGGUCCAAGCGUUGUUCGGAAUCAUUGGGCGUAAAGGGUGUGCAGGUGGUCUUAUAAGUUAGAUGUGAAAGCCUCGGGCUCAACCCGAGAAGUGCAUUUAAAACUGUAAAACUUGAGUAAGGAAGAGGGUCGUGGAAUUCCAGGUGUAGUGGUGAAAUGCGUAGAUAUCGGGAGGAACACCAGUGGCGAAGGCGGCGAUCUGGGAAGAUACUGACGGCUGGAGGUGCGAAAGCGUGGGGAGCAAACAGG